UUUCCCCUGCGGCGUUCGGGAAGGUCGUACGAUCCUAGAACCAAUAUCGUGACGAUGGGUCGCGGCCCCGAGAAACCGCCAGUGUGCGCGCCCUUCGCGGGCGUGCCUGAGGCGGAAGGAAAGCGACCAACCUGAACCUCGGGUUCAGGAGCAUCGGCCUGAUCGGCGCUCGCGGGGGAUCU
rnacentral:other from 1 species